GGAGAAGAGGAUGAGAGCUAGAGUGGCAAGCCAUGGCGUCAAGUAAGAAAACCAAGAGGGAGUUGCCAUUCGUUUUAGUUAGUUGUUAACUAGUCAUGGCGAUUGCAGGUGUUGAUGAUGAAAGGGGCAUCAAAGGAUCGAGUUUAUCAAUGUGUCUCUCACUUGAUUUUCCUUUUCAUUAAUCAAAUGAUUUAAGGGAAUCGAAGACCAGGUAACUCAUUGAUUCUUACAUUUUACCAGCUCAAUAAUUGGUGGAAAGAUUUAAUUAAAAAAAAAUUAAGCACUCCCUAGAAGCCCACUUGGUCAUUAAAGUCACAUUACUUUGACACCCCUCCCCAGGAGUCGUCCAAACUCCAUUGUCUUUUGUUCAAUUAUAAAUUUCCAAAUUAGGGCAGUCUAUUAUUUCUCAAAAUAUGUUUUAUUUUAUUUUAUGAAUGGGUUUUCUGAGUCAUGUAGAAACCUUAACAUGAAGCACACCUCAACACUUUUCUUUAAUCUUAUAGACUGAAAUCACUUUUCUUUUAUCCAAAUUUUAACUGAAUUUUUACAUUUAUUUAAAAACCUUAACAUAACCCUAAUUUUGUACGAUAUUUUUAAAAAUUAGAGAAAAUCAUGAAUAAUUUAAACGUCUACUGAAAAACCUUAAUCCUGUACGAAGCUUUUUUAAAAUUAGAAAAAUAUUAUGAAAGAAAAGGUUGGUAAAUAAUAUUUUCAUUUAACUAGUAUUUAGAGGGUUUUUUUUUCUGGAAAAGAAACGAAACAUCCAAUCAAUUAAAUUUUGUAAUUAAGUAACAAACUAAAUGAACAUUUUUUGGUAAAUUAAAAUUAAGAAACCGAAGAUGGAGUUCCCACUUGUUUUGCUUCCAGCACUGAUGAUUGCAGAUGAUGAAAUAUAGCCUGUGAAUGAUAUUUCAAGUAUGGAAAUGUGUCCCUCCACUUGAAUAUUUUAUUUCAUUAAGUCGUGUUUCUCAAUUCGUUUUAUUUUAAAUCGAAAGUGGUUUCUUUAAUUGAAUUUUUUUAGAAUUUAACAAAUCACCCUAAAAUAGAUGGAAAAAUUAGCAUUUGUUAAUAUGAAGUCUAGCUAGCUAUUCACUAAGUAUUAUAAUAGAACAAAUCAUCAUCAAGGAUUAAUUACGCUAUCUAACACCUAGAAUGACUAAAUUGCAAAACUGUCAAAAGUGCAAAAAUAACAUUUCAAUGGGAAAAAGUGGUCGAUUGACUUCCAUGUUGCGAGUUAAUUCUUGGACUAGGGAUCUAAAAGGUUCAAACUCCUAAUUGGUUCAAUUUUACCUCUCAGGCAUAAUUUUACCCAAUUAGACGAUUUAGUCCAGUUUAUUUCUCGAUCUCACUAAACUAAAUCGGAACAAUCAAAUUGAUUCUCAAUAGGCUCUCCUCUUGGUCUCACUUAUCUAAAUGUUCACCUAGAGGCGUCAAAUCUAGAUUUUUAAAUUUAUUCAAUUUAGUCUAGUUUUACAAUUUAGUCUCUACCUGAAAAACUAGCAAUGCAACAUUUCUAUCAACUAAGCACUAUGAGAUUUAGUUAUUACCCAUCAUCAACACACAAAGAUCAGUCAAAUACAUGCUCAAAUGAUCAAUUAAAUAAAACAUAAAAAAGCAAGGUUAGGAAAAUCUUAAGAGACUCUUGAUGAGUUCUUUGGAGAAGAUGACAACACCAACAAUGAAGAAGAAAACACAACUAAAGUUUAAAUUUUUACAAUUUUGAGAGUUAAAAAAGCGGAAAUAUAGUAAAGGAUGUAAAGAGAAAUCAAAAUACAAAGUAAAGUUUUUGUUCUAAGUGCAAAGAAAGGAAAAACUAUAGUAAAAACUAAGAAAACUAUCAGCUACAACCACUCAUUAGCUGAGAAAAGUAAAGAACUAAAACCUAAAAAUGGAGAAGAGUAUAACUACUAAGCUUAAAAGAUGAUAAAAAGGUCUCUCCUCUUGGUUUGACACAAAAGCAUAUUUUGUACAACCAAAAUUCAACCCUAAACUUGACAAAAAUGCCCUUGGAGUGUAUGGGUUGACUUAUGUUUGUGUUGGAUAUAAAACUACAUUUGUAGUAUUUUUCACCCCGUCAAGCAACAGUGUCGCGACACCUUCGACAAUGACACACUCUUGGCUUUAGGGUUCUCUAUGUCACGACAUCCUUGGGAGUGACCAUGACUUUUUACUUCAACAAUCAACAGUAGUAUUGCGACCUUGGAGGCUUGGUGUCACAACUUUGGGUUUAGUGUCAAGACACCUCGACAAUUUGCUUCAAGUUGGUUUCUUGUUGAAGUCUUGCACCCCUGAGGUAGUGGAGGCUUAGUGUCGUGACAUCCUAGCAUUAAUGUCGUGACACCGGCGUCAGAUGUAGUUCUCCUCAAGGUUUGAUUGUUGUUGUCUUCCUACACAAACUCAAUUGCACUAUUAGACACCCAAUGAGACAACUUUGCCAAAUUGGGUUUCAAAAGGACUAAAAAAACUAAAGGAAAACAAUCAUAAAUACUAAAAAUUGAAAAUCAAAGAAAAUCAUAGAAAAAAACUCGUAAAUUGCUUGAGAACAAACUCAUUAAGUGUUCUAGAAAGUCUAAUUUGAUGUAUCAAAUUACGACAGAUCAUAUACACGUGCCAUGUCAGCAAAGUUAACAAACGUUAACUUUUCCAUCCAUUUUAGGUGAUUUGACAAUUGCACAAGUUGAAGCAACACAUUCACUUUUCUAUCCAUUUUGAGUCGGUCGAUGAAGUUGACAUCGUUGGUUUUCAUCAUAGCCUUAACCAUUUCAGUGGAUGAAGCAAUGAUGAUGGGGAAUUACCUGAAUUUAAGUUGUGUGAUAGAGUCAUAUUUUCGGGAGAGGGCAUGGAUGGACUAGUGAAGAAGUGAGCCGAUGAGGUUGAGGUUGUUGAUUAUCAACCAGGGUUUUGGAUCGGGUGAUAAAUUAAGUUUUUGGAGAUGAUAGAAGUGAAGGGAGAGGACGAUGAGAGUUAGAGUGGCAGGCCAUGGAGUCAAGUAAGAAACCGAAGAGGAAAUUUCCAUUUGUUUUAGUUAGUUGUUUAUAGUAAUAGCGAUUGAUGAUGAAGUUUUACUAUAAAACAUGUAUUUAUAGACAAAAAUUGUGAUAUAAAUAUAUUAAGCUUAGCAAUGUGUCUCCCA
rnacentral:lncRNA from 1 species